rnacentral:lncRNA from 1 species
GCCGUUGCCUCCACAAACGGCAUUGGUGGCAUUGGAGGCAAAUGGGGCAAUGGUGGCAAAGGUGGGAAUCGAGGCAUUGGUGGAAGCCUGAAAGGCGGAGGAGAUAUCGGCCGUGUGACAGGUGCCGGAGGUGUUGACGGUGUGACAGGUGCCGGAGGUGUUGACGGUGUGACAGGUGCUGGAGGUGUUGUGGGUAUGGCUGGUGGAGAUACCGGGUUAGCUGACUUUGGGCAAAAUGACAUGGGCUGAGCAGGCUGAGUGAGCAAAGAAUCCACAGAAUACAUUUCCAUAUCAAACAUACUAAACAUUAGCCUAAGAUUUUGGGCAGGACC